AAAACAGGACCAGUGUUCAUGUCUGCAAAGUACUGCACCACAGAGUUCACUGUCUCAGCCUUGCAGUGGAACAGUCACAGCGGAGAAGCCCGGCAGCGGAGCCGAGCUUUGGCCAAACUCAUCAUGCACAUGAGAGAAACACACGACACUGAUGACUUCAUUGAGCUGAAAUAGGGCUUCCAUCCAUCAGUAGCCUGGAAAGGUAAAAUACUAUAUCGUCGGAGGAGAUCAAAGUGAAGGAUGAUGAAGGACAGGAGUUUGCCUCGCGCAUUUACAACAAGAAAUGACGGAUGAUGCUGUCAAAUGAUUUCUUCUAUCUGAUGCUGAAUCCUGUCUUUAAACUGCAAAAAUACCACUGUUAUUAUGCGUAAUGACACCUCAGUCUAAUAAAACAAAAGCGGCUGCAUGCUUCAUACCCACAACUGGCACAUGAGAAGGCAAUACCACACCCCCCGCUGAGUACACAUGGGUGUCUGCCAACAAUAACACAUGGCGGUGCCAAAAUAAAAAAAGCACUUUA
ensembl:lncRNA